rnacentral:rRNA from 1 species
UACGUAGGUGGCAAGCGUUGUCCGGAAUUAUUGGGCGUAAAGCGCGCGCAGGCGGCCUUUUAAGUCUGAUGUGAAAGCCCACGGCUCAACCGUGGAAGGUCAUUGGAAACUGAAAGGCUUGAGUACAGAAGAGGAAAGCGGAAUUCCACGUGUAGCGGUGAAAUGCGUAGAGAUGUGGAGGAACACCAGUGGCGAAGGCGGCUUCUGGUCUGUAACUGACGCUGAGGUGCGAAAGCGUGGGGAGCAAACAGG